rnacentral:misc_RNA from 1 species
AAGUCGUAACAAGGUCUCCGUUGGUGAACCAGCGGAGGGAUCAUUACUGAGUCUAACAAACUCCCAAACCCCUGUGAACAUACCUACUGUUGCUUCGGCGGGACUGCCCCGGGCGCCUUCGCGGUGCCCCGGAACCAGGCGCCCGCCGGGGACAUCAAACUCUUGAUUGUUAUAGUGGCAUUCUCUGAGUAAAACAUACAAAUAAGUCAAAACUUUCAACAACGGAUCUCUUGGCUCUG